GAUGAACGCUGGCGGCGUGCUUAACACAUGCAAGUCGAACGAUGAAGCCCAGCUUGCUGGGUGGAUUAGUGGCGAACGGGUGAGUAACACGUGAGUAACCUGCCCUUAACUCUGGGAUAAGCCUGGGAAACUGGGUCUAAUACCGGAUAGGAGCGUCCACCGCAUGGUGGGUGUUGGAAAGAUUUAUCGGUUUUGGAUGGACUCGCGGCCUAUCAGCUUGUUGGUGAGGUAAUGGCUCACCAAGGCGACGACGGGUAGCCGGCCUGAGAGGGUGACCGGCCACACUGGGACUGAGACACGGCCCAGACUCCUACGGGAGGCAGCAGUGGGGAAUAUUGCACAAUGGGCGCAAGCCUGAUGCAGCGACGCCGCGUGAGGGAUGACGGCCUUCGGGUUGUAAACCUCUUUCAGUAGGGAAGAAGCGAAAGUGACGGUACCUGCAGAAGAAGCACCGGCUAACUACGUGCCAGCAGCCGCGGUAAUACGUAGGGUGCGAGCGUUAUC
rnacentral:rRNA from 1 species